rnacentral:ncRNA from 1 species
CGUAGAGCAGUGCGGUUCUUGCGCUGUCCGUGCGCUCGCGUCGGCCCUUGAAAUCCGAGUGAGGGAGUGUGAUUUUCGUGCCGGACGUACCCACAUCCGCAGCAGUCUCCAAGGUGAACAGCCUCUAGUCGAUGGACCAAUGUAGGUAAGGGAAGUCGGCAAAACGGAUCCGUAACCUUGGGAUAAGGAUUGGCUCUGAGGACUGAGCCGGUCGGGCUGGGGACCUGAAGCAGGAACGGCACUGCACCGGGACUGGGCGGGGCUCGCCGUUCACGCGGCGCGGCCAAGCCCGGACCAGCGUCGGGACCUUCCUGUGGAAAGCCUCAGCUGCGCGGCGUCUGAGGGCUUCGUGCCCAAAGUGCUAUGCUUCGGCCGGCAAAAAACAGUCAACUCAGAACUGGCACGGACCGGGGGAAUCCGACUGUCUAAUUAAAACAAAGCAUUGCGAUGGCCGCUGGUCGGUGUUGACGCAAUGUGAUUUCUGCCCAGUGCUCUGAAUGUCAACGUGAAGAGAUUCAUCAAAGCGCGGGUAAACGGCGGGAGUAACUAUGACUCUCUUGUCGGAGCACCCUUCGAGUGCUCCGAUUGUGGUCGGGCAUUCAAGACGAAAGCGGGACGCACACUACAUUCCAAGGCACGCCACCCAGUGGAAGCCAAUGCGGAGGUAGU